CCUACGGGGGGCAGCAGUGGGGAAUAUUGGACAAUGGGGGCAACCCUGAUCCAGCCAUGCCGCGUGUGUGAAGAAGGCCCUCGGGUUGUAAAGCACUUUCAGUGAGGAAGAACGCCUGGUGGUUAAUACCCAUCAGGAAAGACAUCACUCACAGAAGAAGCACCGGCUAACUCCGUGCCAGCAGCCGCGGUAAUACGGAGGGUGCGAGCGUUAAUCGGAAUUACUGGGCGUAAAGCGCGCGUAGGUGGCUUGAUAAGCCGGUUGUGAAAGCCCCGGGCUCAACCUGGGAACGGCAUCCGGAACUGUCAAGCUAGAGUGCAGGAGAGGAAGGUAGAAUUCCCGGUGUAGCGGUGAAAUGCGUAGAGAUCGGGAGGAAUACCAGUGGCGAAGGCGGCCCUCUGGACUGACACUGACACUGAGGUGCGAAAGCGUGGGUAGCAAACAGGAUUAGAUACCCUUGUAGUC
rnacentral:rRNA from 1 species